rnacentral:rRNA from 1 species
GUGGGGAAUAUUGCACAAUGGGCGAAAGCCUGAUGCAGCAACGCCGCGUGAGUGAUGAAGGUCUUCGGAUUGUAAAGCUCUGUCUUUUGGGACGAUAAUGACGGUACCAAAGGAGGAAGCCACGGCUAACUACGUGCCAGCAGCCGCGGUAAUACGUAGGUGGCGAGCGUUGUCCGGAUUUACUGGACGUAAAGGGUGCGUAGGCGGAUGUUUAAGUGAGAUGCGAAAUACCCGGGCUUAACUUGGGUGCUGCAUUUCAAACUGGAUAUCUAGAGUGCAGGAGAGGAGAAUGGAAUUCCUAGUGUAGCGGUGAAAUGCGUAGAGAUUAGGAAGAACACCAGUGGCGAAGGCGAUUCUCUGGACUGUAACUGACGCUGAGGCACGAAAGCGUGGGUAGCAAACAGGAUUAGAUACCCUGGUAGUCCACGCCGUAAACGAUGAGUACUAGGUGUAGGAGGUAUCGACCCCUUCUGUGCCGCAGUAAACACAUUAAGUACUCCGCCUGGGAAGUACGAUCGCAAGAUUAAAAC